GAAGUUGGAAACCUCCGACGUCAAGCUCACAUUGGAGAUCGAUCACAAGAUGACAAAACAGAUGCCUAAGCACAAUGUGAGCUGGAGUGUAUCCCGGUCGACACUGAGCGAGAGGUGGGGAACACACUGGACUAAAAGUUAUUCAGUAAAAUGCAUUUGAAAAAUGCAUCAAGACUGCUGGAAAGGAUUGGGUCUGUUGUUGAAGAUGAAGCGUGAGUGGGAGAGUUUGAGGUGUUUGAGCAGGCUGUAGAGCUUGCUGCAGUUCAGCGUGCACCAAGGACAGUGAAGGUCAUCCCUCGCCUCCGUCUGCUGCCGCGUGUUGUUGUUGUACAGGAACUAAGCCGAGGGAAAGGUCACAAGACGUCCAGUAAUUGGAUGAUGAAAACCAUAAAGACGGUGGCUCCUCACAUCAAAGUGUUUACCUGAUAAAAUAUCCGUAACUUUUGGCGUGGCUCACAUGGGACGAGUUCUUUCCUUGUGUGGAUAUCUGUGCUGACCGACUCUUUCACUGCUAAAAAGGAACAUAUGGAGGAGUUUGUUCAACCAUUCAUUAAAACACAUGCUUUAUCCAAAUGUAAACACAGCGAGGCUUCUCAAUAGUAUCUCUUAUUUGAUAUAAUGGCCCACGUGACUCUUUCUGUGGUCCAUGUAAGUGAUCAUCUAUCAUAAUGUCA